rnacentral:rRNA from 1 species
AACGAACGCUGGCGGCAGGCCUAACACAUGCAAGUCGAGCGAAGUCUUCGGGCUUAGCGGCGGACGGGUGAGUAACGCGUGGGAACGUGCCCUUUGGUACGGAAUAGCCCCGGGAAACUGGGAGUAAUACCGUAUGUGGUCGAGAGACGAAAGAUUUAUCGCCAAAGGAUCGGCCCGCGUUGGAUUAGGUGGUUGGUGGGGUAAUGGCCUACCAAGCCGACGAUCCAUAGCUGGUUUGAGAGGAUGAUCGGCCACACUGGGACUGAGACACGGCCCAGACUCCUACGGGAGGCAGCAGUGGGGAAUCUUAGACAAUGGGGGAAACCCUGAUCUAGCCAUGCCGCGUGAUCGUUGAAGGCCUUAGGGUUGUAAAGAUCUUUCAGUGGGGAAGAUAAUGACUGUACCCACAGAAGAAGCCCCGGCUAACUCCGUGCCAGCCGCCGCGGUAAAAC